rnacentral:rRNA from 1 species
UACGAAGGUCCCAAGCGUUGUUCGGAAUCACUGGGCGUAAAGGGAGCGUAGGCGGCGUGGUAAGUCAGAUGUGAAAUCCCGGGGCUCAACCUGGGAACUGCGUUUGAAACUACAAGGCUAGAGUGUAGCAGAGGGGGGUGGAAUUCCACGUGUAGCAGUGAAAUGCGUAGAGAUGUGGAGGAACACCGAUGGCGAAGGCAGCCCCCUGGGUUAACACUGACGCUCAGGCACGAAAGCGUGGGGAGCAAACAGG